rnacentral:rRNA from 1 species
UACGGGGGGGGCAAGCGUUGUUCGGAAUUACUGGGCGUAAAGGGCUCGUAGGCGGCCAACUAAGUCAGACGUGAAAUCCCUCGGCUUAACCGGGGAACUGCGUCUGAUACUGGAUGGCUUGAGAUUGGGAGAGGGAUGCGGAAUUCCAGGUGUAGCGGUGAAAUGCGUAGAUAUCUGGAGGAACACCGGUGGCGAAGGCGGCAUCCUGGACCAACACUGACGCUGAGGGAGCGAAAGCCAGGGGAGCAA